UACAGAGGGUGCGAGCGUUAAUCGGAAUUACUGGGCGUAAAGCGUGCGUAGACGGUUAUUUAAGUCGGAUGUGAAAGUCCAGGGCUCAACCCUGGGAUGCCGAUCGAUACUGCCGGACUAGAGUCCGGAAGAGGCGAGUGGAAUUCCCCGGUGUAGCGGUGAAAUGCGCAGAUAUCGGGAGGAACACCAAUGGCGAAGGCAGCUCGCUGGGACGGUACUGACGCUGAGACGCGAAAGCGUGGGGGAGCAAACAGG
rnacentral:rRNA from 1 species